rnacentral:tRNA from 1 species
CACAGGAGAGCUGUACCCAAUUAGCAUCAAACUUUUAAUUUGACAAAGAUAAAUUUGUCUCCAGUGA